CUUACCAUUUCGCCCUUACUUGGGCCUGGGAUAGCCAUAACCACGGCAGCCACCCCAGCGAGCACUCCUCGGGCAGCGCUCCCCUCGGGCCAAGGCAUUAGUGUUGCCCACACUGUGCUGAAGGAGAAGCUCCAACCAGCUUCUCCAUCACCACCGUCCUCCUGUGCUGGGGAGGGGUGGGUGGGAUCUGAGGCCCGCAGGCUGGCCUCGGAGUCGGGGCUCCUACCUCCCCACUCAACAGCCUCCUGUGAGGCGAUGGAGGGACCGAGUGAAUGGCAGGGACCCUGGCAUCAGGAGGAGCCAGGCGGAUAUCACUGAGCAGCUGCAGAGGCGAGAGAGGUGCUGCGCAGAGCUGAGCACUGCUCAGAACACAGCGAGGCCUCCGGACCCUGCGGGCAGCCGGCAGGCAGGGGACAGCUUCUGCAAGAAAUUGAUCUGGUGUCAAGGGUGGGGGUUCUUGUAAACAGUCUCAGCAGGGUUCUUGCUAAAACUGUGCUCGGCAUGCCAAAGAGAGCUGACCAAGGCCAAACCAAGGUCAAGGCUUCAUCAGAGGAGGCUUAGAGGAGCCUCCGAGGUCGAGGAAGGAGCCCCCAAGGUCGAGGAAGGAGCCCUUCUCAGGGAGUGGGGCUUCCUUCCUGUCCAUGGGCUUGGGACACUCAUAGAAGCCAGGCUCAGGGUCCCCCUCAUGCAUCCUUCCCAUGUGCUGAGACCUGGAGUGGCUGGGCUGGCUGCGGUGACCUUCCCCGCCAUCCCCACAGGCAACACUCACCCCCCGUGCCCAGCCACAUAGCCCCCAAGGUGAGCACUGGGAUGGGUUUCACAUCCCUCCCCAGGAGCCUGAACCUCACUCUGCCCCUGCCUCACUCCAUGUGCCCAGCCACGCUGCUGGGCUCAAGCACACCUGGAGUCAGGAGGGCCGACGAUGCCUCGCAAAGUUCCCAGGCCGUGAGGCCCAGCCACUUCCACAGCCUGACAGUGAGAGCUCCUGGUUGUUAAGGGCCUGGAUGCUUUUGCUCACUUCAUGUUUUCCAAACAUUCUCUGUGCUUCUACCUCCUGGACGUGGCCGCACCAUCCCCAAAGCACACUUUGGCAGCUAGGAUGCAUCCUGCGUGGGGUAGGGUAGAUGGCAUCCAACUCUCACAGCUCAUCAGUGGGCAGGGGGCCCCACCCCGUUUCCAAGGCCGAGUGGAGAUGUGCAGGGGCCAGGCUGUGUGGGGGUGGUGAGGACCCUCAUAUGGAGGCCAGCGCUCAGGGACCCCACCUCCUAUAGAAAGCGGGUCAGUCUUCAACUGUCCCCCUUGGCUGUAUUCCAUGAAACGGGCUAUGUCCCUGCUAGCCAAGGGCUUGGGGCAGAAGAUCUCACUCCUUAUCCCCAGAACAGAGAAAGAAACAUCUAAAAUAAAUGCUAUUGCGUAAUCCUCGUGGAAAGAAUGAUUUUGGUUCCAUGUAAUCCCCGGCAGAAAAGCUGGAGUCAUUUCAGACUCUGGCUGUGUAAGAGCUUCGCUGGUGAGGGGGCCAGCUGGACGGAGCUGCGAGUGCAGGAAUCCCCCCAGACCCUGCAGAAGAAGCUGAGCUACAGAGUCAUUUUGUGGAGCUGAGCUGCCUUUCUUUCCAUCUACACACGUGGCUUCUAGAAGAGGUGGGGGGGAGGUCUCUCAGGCCCCCUGGGACAGCUCAGUCACAGCCACUUGGCUUCUAGCAUGAGUCAGACCUCAGGAAGGAGGCUGGGCUCCAGAGCCCCUAUUGCCUGACACCUGGCCCCUGCCCAAACUGCUGACCAUGAGCAGGCGCCGUUCAGGAAGGACCUCUUUGGAAGGGAGGGAAGGAGAGAGGGAGGUACGUACCUUUUCAGAUCAUUGGCGGGGAAGCCAGACGGGGUGCCCCAGGAUCCCCGGGGUCAGAAAGGAUAUCCAUCCUGAGGCUCGAUGUCCCCGGUACUUGUCAUGGGCUUCAACGUUAUGCUCCAAGCACCACUGCCCUGGAAAAUCUGGGUUUACUCAAAGCCAAGCAUGCAGCUCACUUCUCUUCCCACCGCUCUGUGGCCUGGCUGGGCCCAUGGAUGCUGCUCCCUACUCAAGGAGCCCAAGCUCCUGAUGGGGUAGGCCCUGACCCCUAGGUCCUCCAAACCCCAUGCCCACCUCCACCCUCACAGCAAGUCACCAUCCUGAGGAUGAAGCCCUGGAGUUUGCUGCUCCAGAAGAUACCUGGGGUCCUGGUUUCCCUGAGCCUCUCCUGCACCCGCCUGGGUCAUGGACACAGCUGUCCACGUGCACCUCCUCCCAACACCUCCCCUCCCAGGAUCUCCAGGCCUGGGGCAGACACCUGGGUGGGGACACGCAGUCGGUCUGCACACUGACUGCUUCAUCAUUCUUCUGUAGGUGACUACUCUGGAGGUGCAGAGGACAAAGGAGGGUCCCCCCACCCUGGUCAACAAACCCAGCGAAGGGCAGGACACAGUGCUUCCUCCCCUCCAGGGACCCUCUCCACUCCAGGCUUGUCCAGGAAAUCCUGCUUCUGCAGGACUGGACCAGAUCGAGGAUUUCAUGUAUUUACCAUCCCUGGAAGGUCACGCAUGAGUCUUUCCUGCAAACCUCUGGCAUUUAAUUUGCACAGCAAGGAAUGGCUGUCUGGAGGCCUGAGUAGAGUCAGAGGCUGACUUGGACAUGGAGCUGAUUGCUGUUUCUCCUCCCUCCAUGUUUGUGUGUGCAUGGUGGCACACAUAUACAUGUGUGUACACGUGUGUCUACUCACAGGCAAGCAUAUAUAUCCACGUGUGUGUACAUGCCUGUGUGUGUCUACCCUAUAGCCUGCUGUGCAAUACAGAGGAUCCCCACACUGCAGGUGGCUGACCUGGGGUAGGACCAAGACUCAGGGUCGGGAGACUGCCUGACACCUCACAGCCCCAAGGGCCAGUAUCGCAGCUCGCCCAGGAUUCGUCUUCAGAGGAAUCACAAGCUUCUGUCUAACUGGUUAGGGGGUGCACAGCAACUUACACUGUGUGGAUUGCUUUCAACAACUUUGGAAUCUUUUUUUUUUUCUCCUAGAUCUGGCCUUUGCUAUGGUUUUGGCUUUAAAUUUGUAUUUGCAUUCAGAAAGAAUUUGUAUCCAGAAAGGAUUCCUACCUUUCAUUCACCAGUUUUCAGAAAAGCAAGCUGGUUUUCUAGCAUCCUACAAAAGUGGCAGCCGCUUAGUGUGUCUGCUGCCUGGAGAUCUAGGUAGAGUUGAUGCUGCGGUUUUGCAUCUGAGGGCAGGACCCCCUCCUUGGGGAGCUGGUCUUUUCCUCUGAAGGCCUUCCCUUGAUUGGAUGAAGCCCCUCACACGAUGCGGGGCCCACCUGCGUGACUCAGAGCCCGAGGAUGUCAGGGAUGCCCACAUCUAAACACAUCUUCACUGCAACAUCUGGUGAAGUUGGGUGGAGGUGGCCCAGCCAAGGUGACGCGCAAACUCACCCACUCCCCACGCCUUACACACGCGACAAAACCAUGGGAAGCUCGCAGCUCCCGCCACUCCCGGCCCGGAAAUGCCUCCCGCGUGGCCCAGGCUUUCUUGCUGAGCCCCUCCCUCCACUGCAGACACAGCCAAUGCCUCCAGGCCUUCCUCCAGCCUCAGUUUUGCUUUUCUCAUUCCUGUGUCUGGGGAUGGGCUUUACGGGAACCAACUCCCGGGCUCCAUGAGAUAAGAGAUGUGCCCCCUGCUCAGCCGCACAGCCCCUCGCUCCCCUAGUGGUCUCCACCAGGCUCCACUUCCUGCCAAGCUGCUGCCCCUUCACUGCUGUGGAGGGUCAGCCUCGUCCGGGACCGGCUCCAGGCCAGCCAUGUCCUGCUCGUGGGGUCCCAGCCUGGGGUGCACGAAGUGGAGCGUGUUCCCCUCACCUCCUCUUGGGGCUGGUGGUGCCUCUUGCUGCAUUUGGCUGGCCCUGGAGAUGGCCGGCAGGAAAAGGGGUUGUGCCCUCUACAGACACGGAGUGCCAUGCCAGGGUAAUGUGCCUCGUUGGUGUGUCUCCCCUCCCCCGGGCCAUACCCAACGUCGAGUCACCCCAAAGCCUUGGAGGCACCCCCAGGGCAGCCCAGCACAGCCCACAUGGUCCUCCUUUUCCUCAACAUUUAGAGGGCAUUCACUCCACCCCAGGCCCUGCACCAGGUGGUGGGAUGCCCCUUCCUACCCUGAGUCGACGCUGGCUCCUACUCCUGCACUGUGAAUUCCCGGUAACAGCCAAGCCUGGGCUCCUGUCAGAAUCUGAGGACCCACCAGGGCCUGGCUGCUCAGAGAGCCCAUGUCCCACUGGGGACCGGCCUCCAAGACUCCCUAGGCAGAAAAAGGGAGCAAGAGUGUCUCUGGCUGUCCCUCCAUCUUGCACCGCGUUUGUGUGUGAAAUGUCCCAGUCUAACUGGGCGAAAGAGGAGAAGGCUCCAGACGCCUCCCCCCUGUCCUCCCCAGGGUGCCCGGGUGGCAGCAGGGCCAGACCUCCACAGAGUGGAUCAGGCCUCACAGCCUGCAGCCCUUCCCAGGAAGGCUCUUCCCCUGUCCAGCCCCCAGCCGGCUCCCUGAGCUCCCUUUAAUUGGGCCUGACAAUUUCACACUCUGGAGCCGGACGGUGCUUGUUUUGGCUGGCCGGGCUGCGGGCCCAUCCUCGCUGGCCCGGGUUGCAUAACUGUGAGGUAUCCUCUUACGCUGGCCGACGCCUCUCAGUGAGGCCUGAAGCCCGCCACGGCGGGUGGAGCAGGCUCCAUGCUCCCUCUCUGGGAGGCGGCCCACCCUGCCAGGCUUGGUGUGGGGGCUCUCGUGUCCCCUGACCCCGAGGCUGGCAAAAGUGCAUGGAGCCUCCAGCCUAUGGGAGCCAGGAAUGGCCACCUCUGGCCAGAGUUGGCCUGCGAGGGUGGUGAUGGGCGGGCAUGUCUCCACCCUCUGAUCACAUCUCUCCCAGCGUCAGCGUCAUUGCUGGCCCUGCCAGAGCACUGCGGGCCUCGGGUCCAGAGACAAUGGUGGGGAGGGGGUGAAUCCAGGAGUCACCUGCUGGGCGUCCUUGUGGCUGGCCGGCCCCCCAAGGGAUCCCCGGGGAGUGGUGCCCAGCUCCCUGGCCCCCGUGUGUCCCUGGAUGCCAUCCAGACAGCCCAGAUAGGAAGACGUCCCAGGGCCCUGGGUUCCAGCCCGGACACUCUCUCCCUUCCGCUGCUGCUGACACCCAAAGGUGGAGUGAGAGAAGAAGAGAUUUGAAUAAUGGGAGAAAAUUAUUACGUCUUGGUGAGCUGGAGCCCAGCCCUGUCCCCCGUGGGUGUGAUAACUGAGGAUGCCUUACAUUUCCCCACGCUGAGCCAGGACCAGCCAUGACAAUGUCUGCAUUGUUUCCCAUGCCGGGCAUUGUCACUGAAGGACAGUGCCCCAGACACACGGCGUUCCCUCAUCCCACCAGUCCAAGUGCCCCUCGCUCUUUCUGGGGCAGCCCCACUCUCAUGGAAAUUCUCUAAAGAGUCAUCCUGGUGAUGAAUGCCAAGGGAGCUAAACUUAGCCCACCGUGGCCCUGCCUCCCUUCGCCCCUGCGUUGGGCUCUGCGUUGGGUGGAAGCCUUGAGAGCAGGGAGUCCAUCUUGGGGUCCUCACCGGGUCCGCCCUGUCUUUCCCGCCCCCGGGACCACAGGCGUGGACUUCACCUUCUGGGAGCAACGUGGUCUGUGCAGCCCUCGUGGCAUUCCCAGGAGCCUCGGCUUGCCGGGUGCUGAUAAUUUCACUCUGGAGCCCGACGGUGCGGCUUGCCAGCUUCCAGAUGAGAGGGGAUUUACGGGCUCUUAGGAGUUCAAGCGAGUUCCCGCCAGCAGCCGCUGGAGCCCCUGGUGGCAGAGCUGUGGGAAGCGUCCUGGCUUUGUGUGCCGGCCCCUGGGGUCCCCUCCCAGGUGGCAAGGGCUCCGCCAGCAGCCGCACUACUCUCCUUAUCUGCGUUGGAUUACCGGGAACCCGCUUGAACGCCUAAGAGCCCGUAAAUCCCCUCUCAUCUGGAAGCCGGCAAGCCGCACAGCAUUUAAACUGUCGACAGUUACACCUCAUUUGUUUACAAGCUUCCUGCGCUGGCUCAGGGGAACUCACAUCCCUGCAUCGGGUUUCCUGGGGACCCCCAGGGAGGCCCAGUCCUGCCCUCACUAUCCCGGAGGCAGAGGAGCCUCGUCCCACACUCGGGAAGGAAGAUGGAGGGUCGGGGGCUUUGGAUCCAGAGCCCAAAGCCUCCCCAGACCACUGGCUCAAGGGGAGUGAGGCAAAGGGAGCUGAGAGCUCCGUCCCCUGCUGUGAGCCGCCCCACUCUGGCCCCCGGAGUCAGCAGUGACCCUUGGGUCAACUCUGGUCUCCCAAGCUGGGGUCUGGGUCCCUGCAAAAGGAGAGAGAGUGAGUGCAGUGGUCGGGGCAUUUAUCCAAGUCAGCUGUGUGCCUAGACACACAUGGAGGGGUGGAGGCCCAGGGAUAGGGGUCCAGGUGACAGAGGCUCUUCGUGAGUCCCAGAAAGCCUGGGAAUGGCAGGGCCUUGUGUGCUCAACCCCUGCUGGCUGGGUGGAGGGUGCUAGGGCCUUAGAGACCCUCAGGGUGGAAACUGUGGACACCAGGGUGCGGUGGGUGUGAGCACAGGGCUGGGGACUCCUUCCCUGGGGUGCUGCCCACCCAGCUGAGGUCCACGCCCAGGACCUUCCAGUGGCUGCUCCAGGUGGAGAGCGGCGGCUGCGGCAGAGGCUGGAACUUUACCAAGCUUUGCCCCACCUGCGAGGGCUGGUGCCUGCCUGGGAGGAGUGUUUGUACCGAGCUUCCUGUAGGUGGGACGGGUGACCCCCGCCACCCGGGAAGGCGGAACGCAGCUCAGCAGAGCAGCUUCCCACCACUCCGAGUAGGGGCAGCCCCAUGGUACCUCUGGGGCCAAGUGUGGAGCUGCCUGUGAGGCUCCCAUUCCUCGGCGGACUUUUGAGGGUUUGAGGGUUAGUCUCCUCCUGUGUGGAUUCUUGGCUGCACUUGGCCCCUCCACUAGGACCAGCUGUGGAUUCCUGGAACCUUGACCUGGGCCCUCACCAUAUGGAGUAGCUCUAGGGCUUAGAAGGGCCGGACUCUGCCCCCGAUGGCAUGGCCACUGGAGAAGACAGAGUCAUGCCUGUCUUCCUCAGACUCUCCCGCAUCCUCUGCCAAGGUCUGUUGGGACCCUCUUCCUGGUGUCCUGCCCACCUCACCCUCAGCCCAGAGCACAAAGGGUCCUGCUCUCAUAGGAGCUGGCCUGGGUGUCAGGCAAUGUCUUGCCCUCUGGCUGGAGCCAUGCCAUGGGGCAGGCAGCCGCUCUCAGGACUGUGCGCCAUGGCCCCCCCGCGCCUGCCCCUGGUCGAGUUGAGUCUGCAGGGGUGUAGGACCCUGGAGCACCAGGUCCUCCAGAAAACAUCAUCAUAGUGGUGCCGUUCAGCAAGGGAUCAUGGUGCCUCCAUCGAGGCACAGGCAUCUGGAUCCCCUGGUGCAGCAGUGCCCUGAGAUAGCCUCCCUGAUGUCCCAGGAGGUGACCAUGCCAUGAGGCAUGGGGUGCUUGAGUGUGGGGAUGCCCUCCUGGCCUGAUCCUCCCCCAGUGUGGCAGUUUUUGUGUCUAAUCACUGCCAUAGAUGGAGCUUCUGGGCUCUCGUGGAACCUGCUCCUGAGGGUCCAUAAUGGAAGCCAGGACUGGAGGUCAGUGGAGGAGAUGAUGGAGGCAGGGGCACUGAGCAUGGGGUAGCCCUGAGCACCCUCCACCUGCAGACAAAGCAGUCACUUCUGAGAGGUCCCCGGGACAAGAGGCAGGAGCUGACAGCUACUGGUCCCCACCAGUGUCACUGCAGGGCCAGUCUCAGGAAGAACCAGGCCUCGUGCUCUCUGCGCUCUGCUCCAUGUCCUCUCUUCCACCCGCGAGUUUUGAACAAGAAACCCCUCCAGCAGAGCCCCCAGAUGGCAGCAUCCAAAUGGCACUUCACAGAAAGAUCUUGUUUAGGACCAAAGCAAAGAGCUGGCUGGGGCUCUUGGAGUCCUCUGACAGAGUCUGGGCAUGGGAAUGCAUAUGCUCCCAAUAGGGAAACAGGCUCAAGCCAGUUCCUGUGGAUGCCUGCUAGGCAAGGUCAAACAGUUCAAAGCCAGAGGGAGGCUUCUCUCUCCUCCUCCAGGGCUUAGCCCAGCCCAUCCCCUGGCCUUGGCCCUUCACUUUGGACACGUCCAGGCUGAAGCAGGGUUGAGCCUCUGAUGCAAAGGCUGACCUCACAGCUCCUCCCAAUUCUCCCUCACUAGCAGCAGCCUCGUCUGCUUGACACGCUCUGGACCUUCCACCCCUCUCAAGGAAGCCACAGUUAAAAGCCAGCUGGGUUACAAUGCUCUUUCUAGAAACUCUAUCAGGGCCUUGGGGGACUGCUUACCAUCUAUUCACUGCAGUGCCCCAGGAAGAACAUAGUUCUGAAGAACUAGAGGUCAGAAAACCACCAUCACCAUUUUCAUCACCAUCAUCACCACAGUCAUCUUAGUUGUGGUCAUUGUCACCAUCAUUACCACCAUCAUCAUCAUCAUUACUAUUGUCACCAUCACUGUCAUUAGCACUAUCGACACCACCACCAUCAUCCUCAUCACUACCAUCAUCACCACCACCAUCCNNNNNNNNNNCCCCGCCCUCCGCCGCCUUCUUAACUGGGGAGGCUGCCCCACCCUCCGCCUUCUUACUGGGGAGGCUGCUCCGCCCUCUGCCUUCUUAACUGGGGAGGCUGCCUCACCCUCCACCUUCUUAUUGGGGAUGUUGCCUGGCCCUCCACCUUCUUACUGGGGAGGCUGCCCCACCCUCUACCUUCUUACUGGGGAUGCUGCCCGACCCUCCACCUUCUUACUGGGAGGCUGCCCUGCCAUCCACUUUCUUGGCUGAGCCCAAGCUCCACCCAAAGCUUUCUGGGCUGCAGCGAGCCACCUGGGUCACUUGCUUGCCUGCUCCCCUCCUCCUAUCACCAUUACCCUUGCUCUGCCCUGCCAGGCACUCACCACGCCCUGAUUGAGGCCCAUGUGCUCCUGUGGCUGGGCCUCUGCCCAGGCUGUUCCUUCUGCUUGCCUGCCUGAGUCCCACCUGGGCAUUAAGGCCUGGCUGAAAUGCCCCUGCCAGGCCCAUCACAAAUGGUUAGGAACGGCUGUGUCGGUCACCUCACCCAGUCAGUCACCAGCUGAGAACCAGUUGCUCUCCCCAAGCACCUGGGCCAGGGCCCAAGGAAUAGGUGCUGCCCAAAGCUGCCAGGAGGUUCUGAUCUUUGGCAGGCAUGGGAACCACACUGCUGAAACUCCCCAUGUGAUGCUGCAGGCUGCCCUGCCUGACAAGUGUCCUGCUGGAGUGACCACCUCUGGGGACCAGAGCUCAAUUCUGCAUGCAGAGAAGGGAGGCGGUGCCUGUCUUAAACCAGACACAGGCUGAAUUGAGGCGUCAGAGACACAAGCCCACGUGAGAGGUCAGCAUCCCUCUGCAUGUAGAGCCACCCAGGCGAGCUGCCAGCAUGUCCCAUGGCCACAUGAGAAGCCCGCAUUUCUGGCUCAGACCCACCUGACAAAUUAAGAGAUGUCUGGGGCUCUGGCUGAUUCGGAAGAGCCACCAAUUAAGAUGUCUCUUGUUUUGUGCCCCAGAACCUUGUCCCAUUGCUGAUCAGGUUACAGGAGUGACAGCUCAAAGAUGUCACCUCCAGGGACUUGAAGGGUGGGGUAAGAGGACAGAUUGCCUCGGCACCUGGGGCUGUCUCUGGGGACAGGCCUGGGGCAAGCACUGUAACGUGAGGCUCCCACAGCCGUGGAAUCCUCCAGCACCUGGCGUAGGUGGCGUGGGGCUCAGCAGGGCCUCCUUGCCUUCCUGCUGAGUUGGCUUCCCGCCAUGGGCAUUGCUCCCCAAGCAUCGACUGCCCAGCAACUCUGCAGCCCAGAAGUCCAUGCAGUUUUGUGUCAAGGGGCAGCUGGUCCACACCGUAGGGCUGUCAUUCAGUCCUCACCAGCAAUCUGUGCACCUACUGUGCAUCCAGUCCUGUGCUGGACACGGGGACAGGGACAAUCCUAAGCAGAGACCGAGUUGACAGCAAGCAGAGCUAGCCUGGGGAAGACCCGGUAGAAGAGCUUCUGAGUCCAGGAAACAGCAAGCCGGAGCCUCUGGGCAGACCUGGGUGGAAGAGCUUCUGAGC
rnacentral:lncRNA from 1 species